rnacentral:rRNA from 1 species
CACGUAGUUAGCCGGGGCUUAUUCCUUUGGUACCGUCAUUUAUUCGUUCCAAAGAAAAGAGCUUUACAAUAAAAUUACCUUCAUCAUUCACGCGGCAUUGCUGGGUCAGAGUUGCCUCCAUUGCCCAAUAUUCCCCACUGCUGCCUCCCGUAGGAGUCUGGGCCGUGUUUCAGUCCCAAUGUGGCCGAUCAGCCUCUCAGCUCGGCUACCCAUCGUAGGCUUGGUGGGCUGUUAUCUCACCAACUACCUAAUGGGAUAUGAGCCCAUCUCUAUCCGAUAAAAUCUUUUACCGCUGCACGAUGCCGUGCUGUGGUCAUAUACCGUAUUACCAGUCGUUUCCAACUGCUAUCCCGUUGAUAGAGGCAGGUUGCUCAUACAUUACUCACCCGUUCGCCACUAACUUUUCAUCCCGAAGGAAUCAGUCCGUUCGACUUGCAUGUGUUAAGCAUGCCGCAGCGUCGUCUGUAGCAGACGUCAAACUACUCUACGUAGAACCG